rnacentral:rRNA from 1 species
CGCGGCCUAUCAGCUUGUUGGUGGGGUAACGGCCCACCAAGGCUACGACGGGUAGCUGGUUUGAGAGAACGAUCAGCCACACUGGGACUGAGACGCGGCCCAGACUCCUACGGGAGGCAGCAGUGGGGAAUCUUGCGCAAUGGGCGAAAGCCUGACGCAGCAACGCCGCGUGCGGGAUGAAGGCCCUCGGGUUGUAAACCGCUUUCAGCAGGGACGAAAAUGACGGUACCUGCAGAAGAAGCCCCGGCUAACUACGUGCCAGCAGCCGCGGUAAUACGUAGGGGGCAAGCGUUGUCCGGAUUUAUUGGGCGUAAAGAGCUCGUAGGCGGUUCUGUAAGUCGAAUGUGAAAAAUCUGGGCUCAACCCAGUGGAGCACUCGAUACUGCAGUGACUAGAGUCCGGUAGGGGAGUGUGGAAUUCCUGGUGUAGCGGUGAAAUGCGCAGAUAUCAGGAGGAACACCAACGGCGAAGGCAGCACUCUGGGCCGGUACUGACGCUGAGGAGCGAAAGCAUGGGUAGCGAACAGGAUUAGAUACCCUGGUAGUCCAUGCCGUAAACGUUGGGCACUAGGUGUGGGGAGGAGUCAACCCUCUCUGUGCCGUAGCUAACGCAUUAAGUGCCCCGCCUGGGGAGUACGG